rnacentral:rRNA from 1 species
UACGUAGGUGACCAGCGUUGUCCGGAUUUACUGGGUGUAAAGAGCGCGCAGGCGGUCGUUCAAGUCGAGUGUGAAAGCCCCCGGCUCAACUGGGGAGGGUCGCUUGAUACUGAUCGACUCGAAGGCAGGAGAGGGAAGCGGAAUUCCCGGCGUAGUGGUGAAAUGCGUAGAGAUCCGGAGGAACACCAGCGGCGAAGGCGGCAUCCUGGACUGGUCCUGACACUCAGGAGCGAAAGCGUGGGGAGCGAUCCGG